rnacentral:rRNA from 1 species
GGUUAAGCGACUAAGCGUACACGGUGGAUGCCCUGGCAGUCAGAGGCGAUGAAGGACGUGCUAAUCUGCGAUAAGCGUCGGUAAGGUGAUAUGAACCGUUAUAACCGGCGAUUUCCGAAUGGGGAAACCCAGUGUGUUUCGACACACUAUCAUUAACUGAAUCCAUAGGUUAAUGAGGCGAACCGGGGGAACUGAAACAUCUAAGUACCCCGAGGAAAAGAAAUCAACCGAGAUUCCCCCAGUAGCGGCGAGCGAACGGGGAGCAGCCCAGAGCCUGAAUCAGUGUGUGUGUUAGUGGAAGCGUCUGGAAAGGCGCGCGAUACAGGGUGACAGCCCCGUACACAAAAAUGCACAUGCUGUGAGCUCGAUGAGUAGGGCGGGACACGUGGUAUCCUGUCUGAAUAUGGGGGGACCAUCCUCCAAGGCUAAAUACUCCUGACUGACCGAUAGUGAACCAGUACCGUGAGGGAAAGGCGAAAAGAACCCCGGCGAGGGGAGUGAAAAAGAACCUGAAACCGUGUACGUACAAGCAGUGGGAGCACGCUUAGGCGUGUGACUGCGUACCUUUUGUAUAAUGGGUCAGCGACUUAUAUUCUGUAGCAAGGUUAACCGAAUAGGGGAGCCGAAGGGAAACCGAGUCUUAACUGGGCGUUAAGUUGCAGGGUAUAGACCCGAAACCCGGUGAUCUAGCCAUGGGCAGGUUGAAGGUUGGGUAACACUAACUGGAGGACCGAACCGACUAAUGUUGAAAAAUUAGCGGAUGACUUGUGGCUGGGGGUGAAAGGCCAAUCAAACCGGGAGAUAGCUGGUUCUCCCCGAAAGCUAUUUAGGUAGCGCCUCGUGAAUUCAUCUCCGGGGGUAGAGCACUGUUUCGGCAAGGGGGUCAUCCCGACUUACCAACCCGAUGCAAACUGCGAAUACCGGAGAAUGUUAUCACGGGAGACACACGGCGGGUGCUAACGUCCGUCGUGAAGAGGGAAACAACCCAGACCGCCAGCUAAGGUCCCAAAGUCAUGGUUAAGUGGGAAACGAUGUGGGAAGGCCCAGACAGCCAGGAUGUUGGCUUAGAAGCAGCCAUCAUUUAAAGAAAGCGUAAUAGCUCACUGGUCGAGUCGGCCUGCGCGGAAGAUGUAACGGGGCUAAACCAUGCACCGAAGCUGCGGCAGCGACGCUUAUGCGUUGUUGGGUAGGGGAGCGUUCUGUAAGCCUGCGAAGGUGUGCUGUGAGGCAUGCUGGAGGUAUCAGAAGUGCGAAUGCUGACAUAAGUAACGAUAAAGCGGGUGAAAAGCCCGCUCGCCGGAAGACCAAGGGUUCCUGUCCAACGUUAAUCGGGGCAGGGUGAGUCGACCCCUAAGGCGAGGCCGAAAGGCGUAGUCGAUGGGAAACAGGUUAAUAUUCCUGUACUUGGUGUUACUGCGAAGGGGGGACGGAGAAGGCUAUGUUGGCCGGGCGACGGUUGUCCCGGUUUAAGCGUGUAGGCUGGUUUUCCAGGCAAAUCCGGAAAAUCAAGGCUGAGGCGUGAUGACGAGGCACUACGGUGCUGAAGCAACAAAUGCCCUGCUUCCAGGAAAAGCCUCUAAGCAUCAGGUAACAUCAAAUCGUACCCCAAACCGACACAGGUGGUCAGGUAGAGAAUACCAAGGCGCUUGAGAGAACUCGGGUGAAGGAACUAGGCAAAAUGGUGCCGUAACUUCGGGAGAAGGCACGCUGAUAUGUAGGUGAGGUCCCUCGCGGAUGGAGCUGAAAUCAGUCGAAGAUACCAGCUGGCUGCAACUGUUUAUUAAAAACACAGCACUGUGCAAACACGAAAGUGGACGUAUACGGUGUGACGCCUGCCCGGUGCCGGAAGGUUAAUUGAUGGGGUCAGCGCAAGCGAAGCUCUUGAUCGAAGCCCCGGUAAACGGCGGCCGUAACUAUAACGGUCCUAAGGUAGCGAAAUUCCUUGUCGGGUAAGUUCCGACCUGCACGAAUGGCGUAAUGAUGGCCAGGCUGUCUCCACCCGAGACUCAGUGAAAUUGAACUCGCUGUGAAGAUGCAGUGUACCCGCGGCAAGACGGAAAGACCCCGUGAACCUUUACUAUAGCUUGACACUGAACAUUGAGCCUUGAUGUGUAGGAUAGGUGGGAGGCUUUGAAGUGUGGACGCCAGUCUGCAUGGAGCCGACCUUGAAAUACCACCCUUUAAUGUUUGAUGUUCUAACGUUGACCCGUAAUCCGGGUUGCGGACAGUGUCUGGUGGGUAGUUUGACUGGGGCGGUCUCCUCCUAAAGAGUAACGGAGGAGCACGAAGGUUGGCUAAUCCUGGUCGGACAUCAGGAGGUUAGUGCAAUGGCAUAAGCCAGCUUGACUGCGAGCGUGACGGCGCGAGCAGGUGCGAAAGCAGGUCAUAGUGAUCCGGUGGUUCUGAAUGGAAGGGCCAUCGCUCAACGGAUAAAAGGUACUCCGGGGAUAACAGGCUGAUACCGCCCAAGAGUUCAUAUCGACGGCGGUGUUUGGCACCUCGAUGUCGGCUCAUCACAUCCUGGGGCUGAAGUAGGUCCCAAGGGUAUGGCUGUUCGCCAUUUAAAGUGGUACGCGAGCUGGGUUUAGAACGUCGUGAGACAGUUCGGUCCCUAUCUGCCGUGGGCGCUGGAGAACUGAGGGGGGCUGCUCCUAGUACGAGAGGACCGGAGUGGACGCAUCACUGGUGUUCGGGUUGUCAUGCCAAUGGCACUGCCCGGUAGCUAAAUGCGGAAGAGAUAAGUGCUGAAAGCAUCUAAGCACGAAACUUGCCCCGAGAUGAGUUCUCCCUGACUCCUUGAGAGUCCUGAAGGAACGUUGAAGACGACGACGUUGAUAGGCCGGGUGUGUAAGCGCAGCGAUGCGUUGAGCUAACCGGUACUAAUGAACCGUGAGGCUUAACCUU